rnacentral:snoRNA from 1 species
ACAAGGUGCCAUGCAAAAGCAAUCUUGCCUUCAGAAUGACUGAUGGUAUACUCAGGUUUUUCAUAGCAUAUCAUCAUUAAAAGUGAAUAAAAUA